GGCCGACGUCAUCGUCUCUUGUUGUGGUUGGGGGCGUUGGUGAAAGCAAACUUGUCCGUGAGGGUAAGGUGGUCCUUCCAGUGAAGAAUCAUCAGGGUCGAGGACGAGGGGGUUGACGGCAGCUUCAUCAUCAUCUCUUGUAGUGAUUGGGGGCAUCGGCGAAAGCAAACUUCAACCGGUAGGCCUCGGCCAGCAGCACACUGACUUCUUCGUUGCCCCAGUGCAUGGUG